rnacentral:rRNA from 1 species
UACGUAGGGUGCAAGCGUUGUCCGGAAUUAUUGGGCGUAAAGAGCUCGUAGGCGGCUUGUCGCGUCGGCUGUGAAAACCUGGGGCUCAACUCUGGGCGUGCGGUCGAUACGGGCAUCACUGGAGUUCGGCAGGGGAGACUGGAAUUCCUGGUGUAGCGGUGAAAUGCGCAGAUAUCAGGAGGAACACCGGUGGCGAAGGCGGGUCUCUGGGCCGAUACUGACGCUGAGGAGCGAAAGCAUGGGUAGCGAACAGG